AGUGAACGCUGGCGGUAGGCCUAACACAUGCAAGUCGAACGGCAGCACAGUAAGAGCUUGCUCUUACGGGUGGCGAGUGGCGGACGGGUGAGGAAUACAUCGGAAUCUACUUUUUCGUGGGGGAUAACGUAGGGAAACUUACGCUAAUACCGCAUACGACCUACGGGUGAAAGCAGGGGAUCUUCGGACCUUGCGCGAUUGAAUGAGCCGAUGUCGGAUUAGCUAGUUGGCGGGGUAAAGGCCCACCAAGGCGACGAUCCGUAGCUGGUCUGAGAGGAUGAUCAGCCACACUGGAACUGAGACACGGUCCAGACUCCUACGGGAGGCAGCAGUGGGGAAUAUUGGACAAUGGGCGCAAGCCUGAUCCAGCCAUACCGCGUGGGUGAAGAAGGCCUUCGGGUUGUAAAGCCCUUUUGUUGGGAAAGAAAAGCAGCAGGUUAAGACCCCGCUGUUCUGACGGUACCCAAAGAAUAAGCACCGACUAACUUCGU
rnacentral:rRNA from 1 species